AAUAUUGGGACAUAUAAAAAAAGACAACUCUCUUCCACAGAGUAGCUGUUGACAUUAUAGUUGCGCAGGAACUUUGUUGACUCUAGAGAACCUUGGGCAAAUCGCAUACCCCCCGUGACGGCAACUUUGCAUGCGGAUGUCAACCAUAUCAACUUUCGAUGCCAGUUUCUGUGCCUACCGUGGUGACCACGGGUAACGGGGAAUCAGGGUUCCAUUUCAUACAGGGACCCUGAGAAACGGCUACCACAUGCAAGGAAGGCAGCAGGCGCACAAAUGACCCACUCCCGACGCAGGAAGGUAGUGA